UAUAUUUUGUAUUUCGUUUCUUACAAAUACAUAUAUGUAUGCGUUUCAUUGCUUCGAGUUCUUAUGAGAGAUCCAUUUUGGAUGGAUUCGCAAGGAAAAAUUCUCUACUUUAUCUUAGAAACUUUUGCUUUUUAUAUUAAUUUUAGAAACUACUACCAAAGGAAAUUACGUUAAUUCUUUUCAUGUUAUUUUUAUGUUCCUUAUAUUGUCAGUAACUAUAACCAAGGAAAUUAGUUAACUCUAAUAAGACACUUGGAUUUUUUUAUAUUCAUUAUAACACUAGAAAAGUAUAAUACAACUGCGCACAAAUGACCGAAAAAAUGUGACAGGAUUAAUUCUUAAAUCCCUCGUCGGGCGUUCCAGAUCAUUUGAAACUGACCUUAAUCGAUCAAGGGCCAAGCGAUAGUCUAUCAUAAUUUCACGUUAUACAUAUAAAGACCUAGAGUACUUUACAUUUCUUAUCGUUAGAUUUUACAUGUUACGUAAAAAUCCUACGAUUUCUAUGAAUUUAUAGAAAAUACGAAGGUGCAAAAUUGCACAGAAUGCACGUAACAUGAAAAGUAUGUAAAAUAUUCAAAGUAUAGUGCUUCUCAAAAAUAUGAAUUUGCAUAAAAACCUGCAGUCUGCUAAUCAUAUUCAUAAAACACUUUACAGAGGACAGUACUAAAAUCCUUAAUCUAUCUUGCGUAAUGUAAAUUGAAUGAAAAAAAUUGCAAAUGAGAAGAUACAACAACGUAACUGUUGGCCCUUGAUGGAUGAACAACCCUUAGACUUACUCCUACGCCGAAGCAGCGAAUUGUUAGCCAGUCGCCCAAUCGACAUUCCGAUUCCACCGUAAUCCUCGAGGGAAACUUUUAACGCAGAUUCGACGUUUCGAUACCCGUUUGCUUCGUUCGUCGUUGGUUUCUUCGUAGCCGUCGUUUCCUCUCCUCGACAACCCCUAAUUACGUAAAAUAAAAACCGUCUGUUCGCUCGGUUCCGCGAUCGGCAUCGAGAACUUACCUUUUACGAUUUCUGGGACGCGGACUCGCGUCGUUUUCGUUGUCGUUCUACCAGUGGAAUCCGCUUGUGAGCACGUCUGCGAGAGAGGAUAGACGAGUAAGCGACGACGGACAGAUGAAUCGAGUAGAAGUCGCGCGGGAAGCCUCGGGGAAAUGGCCGAAAGGACGGCCUAAUGGACAGCGCCGCGGUCAAUUAGCCAUCUCGGCCGCAUUCGUGGUUAUUAAUAGCGGAUCGUGAUCCGGCGAGAUUGAGAUCUCCGACGCGACGCGUCUUCGAGAAACGUUUCAGGCUUCUGGCCUCGCGAACAGGGAAGCGAGGAGUCGCCGUUAUCCAGCGAAUCGAAAGGCGAAGAAAGCGUUGCCUUGGGAUCGUCUUCCUCGGGACGUCUCGGAUGGCUCGAACUCUUCAACUUCCGGGACUCGGCGAAGCGAAUUGUCAUUGUCUUUUUCUUUAAACGAUUGUAAUAUUAUCGGUGGUUAACAAUUUUCAACUUGCAAUCGUAGAAUGUUUGACAUAUGUCUCAUAAUUUUGUCUUGAGUUUUCAACGUUCCAACUUCCGCUGAAGUGAGUGUUUAUCGGUUGCAGAUGGCACGUGACGUAAGUUUGAUCGUUUACGCAAGUUUAGGGAUACUUAUCUCUUUCGAAGAUUCAUAGUACUUAUCGUUGAGUCAGAAACGUUGAACUUUGAAUCGUAAAAUGUUUAAUAUACCUUAGGGUUAUCGUUAAGUGUGCCGUCGAUUUACUCGUGUACGGGGUUCUAGAGACUAUCUAUAUUUCAAAGAUCGUAUCAAAGAUGUUAUUCUAAGAUUUCAACAAACCUGAAACCUCCCCAAAACGUCGACGAAACCAACCCUGUUUACACGAACUCUGAUAUCGAAAUAUACUGAAAGUAUUGUGUAAGACGCGUUCCCUGGGGGUUUCCUCGUUGCCCACGCAAAGGAACCGGAGGCCAGGCCAGUGAUGGACCACCAGGGAGCCGCCACGCCCCCGGCGGGCCUCGUUUUACCCACGCGAUCUUUGGUGGAGCGCGCGCGUACGCUUCUGCCCGCUUGAACGACUUUAACGCAGAGAGAGGAAAAAGGUGGUGUGGUCGGCGGCACGGCUUAACUAGCGCGCGGAAUCGCGCGAACCAGCCCCGGGGGUUGGGAGAACGAGAACAAAAAAGCCUUGGAAAUCAAAGGAACAGAGGGAACGGAGGGAUGGUUAAGGGGUGAAACAGCGAGAGCGGCAAUGGCGGAUGACGACGGUGACUCGUGGCUUGGUCCAAGGAUCAAGAGGCGUGUCACCCCCGGGGCGAAGAAGCGGUGUCGACGGGAGGAUAAUCGUCGGGUCAUCGCGAAAAACGCAGGUUUGGUCGCUGACGAUCCGACAGACUGCCGAGAGAAAGGAGGCGGCCUGUGGAUGGGGUUGGAACUCGGCCUCGUCGGCGUGACGCUAUUCCGGGAAUGUGGGAAUCACCACGGCUGUGAUUCAGUUCAUAUUACCCACGUUUCGCGAAAUAAAAUGGAGUAACAGCGUGCAAAUUGUCGACGUGGAAAUAACGUAACGUGGGAAUGAAGAAAAUUUCCGUCCAUAUUCGUCGAAGAAGAUUUGCCACGAAGAGAUGCCAAUCGAUGGCAGGUUUUGCUUGUAAGACAAAUUUUUUUGAUGUUUAACAGCGUAGGAUGGGUGGAAGUAAGGUGCCUUUGGAAAGAGACGUACAACAUAUGGAGAUAUCGUGGUGAACACACCUGUGACGAGUUAUAUCACGCAACGCCCAUUACUGUCGCGGACGGUUCCACGUCGAAAACGAGUCUCUUAUUCUGCUGACAGUCAACGCCUUCUAAUCGCAUCCAUUACAGAUAUGUACAGCCGAUUGAUAUCUCUUUGAGUUUCUUCCACAUCUUUCAUUUCAGUUACAAGAUAAUCCUAUACUUUUAUAGUACAGUUCAGUAGUAACGUUUUCCGAUAAAACGACUGGGAAUCGACGAAUGGAAUUAAAUUAAUAAAUUAAUACUAAUUUUAAUAUUCUUCUUAAUAUUCACAAAUCGAAGAAACAAAUUUAACAAACCUUUGUCUUACGUUUGAUGAAUAUUUCACAUUAAUAAUAAGCUUUUGUCAACUUGUAUUACUCGAUAUUGAUGUUAUCCGAGUAGAAUGGCAAGAGAUUGAAAUGUAGAAAUAGAAGAAGCGUUCGAAGUUUGUAAAACGAUCUCAGAAACUUGCGAAAUUACCAUCCUACUGUGUUUAAUAGUUGUUUUGUACCAACUUUUUCAAUGUCGAUAUUCUUUCUUAAAAAAUGUUGAAACGGAUUGAAAAAUAUAAUAGAAAUCAACUUUAUGUCGUCAACCUUCGUCAUUUCACAAAUAUUUCCUAUGAAAAAAAAUCCUCGAAGCUCAUAAAUAAUGUAACAAUCUGCACUUUUCUUACAGAUUUCAAAAUUCUCGAGGAAUCGUGUUCGACGUCUCGAGAAUAUUUCUCAAUAAACGCUGAAACCCGUAAGAGUGAAAAAGUCAUCGAAGAAAGUCCCGAAGAAAUUUGAAAAACCACCGAAGACUAUAAAAAUCAACCUACUCCAACGAUAGCUUCGCGUCAAUCUCGUCAACGUUCUCUACUUCGCCAAUAUCCCCUUUAAAAAGUAGCCCACAAAGUCGACGAAUGACUCGAGAAACUUUUCUCCUCUGCUCGUGAACACCAAAAUUCUUAAACCGAAGAAAAUUCCAACUGAGCUUUCGCGCCACCUCGGAAAAUCUCCGAACCACCGAAAACUAUAAAAAUCAUGCCGCUUCGUGCCCAACGAUAGUUUCACGUCGAUCACGUCGACCUCGCCACUUCGCCAAUAUCCCCUUUAAAAAGUAACUCACAAAGCUCUAGAAUCAUUCGAGAAACUUUCCUCUUCUACCGGCAAAUCCCGAAAUUUUCAAACGUACGUUUCAGAUCGAUAAACGCUAAAAAUCCGCGAACAAAAGAGGACAAAAAAAAAAAAAAAAAUAGAGUGCGAAAAUCAUCGGAGAAGAUUCCAAUUCCACUUUGCUUUACCUCGAAAAAUCGCUCGAAAAACUAUAAAAAUCACCUCCGCUGUACGUUCGAUUGUUCGUGCUAAGCUCGUCAACGUUCGCCACGAAACACCAUGUACCCGCGGCAAGCAUCCCUCUUUGUCUCUCGAUGCAGAGUCAAAAGGGCGAUCGUGGAAACUGGCCACGUUCCUGGAGCGCAAAGGCUGCCAGUUACACGGCGGGUCGACGGGGCUGGCGUUAAAUUCAGCCGUCAGAGAGCUUUCAGCAGGGUUCAGCAACAGCGUCAGCAACUCUGUUCCCUCGGCUCGUCCGGCAACGCAUCCACCCGCCCUCUCGCGUCAUAUACGUGUCUUUGUGUGUACGCGCGGCACAUCCGUAUGUUGUACGUGUGUGCAUCGCGAGCUGCUAGCCGACCAACUCGUCACGCAUAUGCUGCAACGACCUUUUGCAUCAAAAGCUUUGUUUAUGGGCCGAGGAGAUUUAUAGGCCGCGCGACGAUGUACGCGGCCGGUAUGCGUCGUGGUUUGUUAGAUCUUGGUUCUCGAAAUACGACCGUGGCGGAAGGAGGUUUGAACCGCGGCGUGGAAUCGCGACAGGUAGUCCACAGGGUUCAGACUUUGCGUGGAAAAAAUUCCAUAUGAGUUUCAGACGAAGGGAAGUAUGGAUUUUUGACGAGUCGACGAAUGACAAAUCGAUCGUUUGCGUGUAAUACUUUUACUGGUAAAGUAGGCCGAUAGGAUUCAGAUUUUACGAGGAAAAAUUUACGAUGAAUUUCCACGAAAGGAGGAAAGUUUAAUUAACAAUUUGGAAUUGAUGAAUGACAAAUUCAUGGAUUUUAGUUCGACGCUCAUACUGCUACGCGCAUCCGCAAGAUGGUCCACGAAGUUGAGAUUGCGCGAGCAAGAAAAGCCAGACGAGUUUCGAAAGAGGAAAAGUUGAAAUUCUCGACGUGAUUUUUUUCCAAUCGAUAAAUUUGCCAUUCACUUUCGCCAUCAUGCACACUGUGGUCCUAGUUUCGUGUGUCCAAAUUGCGUUGAUAGCUUGGUUCUUGAGAAGUACACGUAGCAACGUGUAUUUGACUAAUUCUCGUGUGUAGUUUAUUCUAAAAUUUAAAGUGACACAAAAUUUUAUUUACGCGACAGAAUUUCAUAUAAUAUCGUGUUUUCACCGGUAUAAUAUUUCAAGGAAUUGUAUCAAUUUCUAGUAGCAGGUAAAUAUUUUCACGGUGGAACUAAUUAGUUUCGCUCGCUGCUUGUCUUCGUUUCUCAAUACACCGCAGGUAAUGCGCACCACAAAUGCAAACUGCUUCCAAAGAUCAGCUCAAAGCAACAUCAAGCCUUAUCCUAUCGUAUCCGUACUACUCACGAAAUCAAAGUAAUUUUACCCUGCCGAGUCUCGAUCCUUCUCUUACGGUUUCAUAUACACCUUGCGACUAAUUAAUAUCGCAAGAAUCUGCCAUCUUUUAUUACCUUCUUUAAUAACGUGGAACUCAAGAACCGCAGAAUAUAUUUAUUGGUUGCAGGAAUUAUUAAUUUCGCGAACAGGAGCUCGCGUAGCAAACUUCGAUAUUUCUCCUCUUUUACGUAAUCGUAAACGACGUUUUUGUCGCGUUCGCCAACGAACACGCUGUCAUCGAUUCCAGAAUUGCGUAAUGUAACUGCUCGAUCAAGAAUUCCCAAUGUUCUUCUAUUUAAUCCGAAAAUUUAUUUAUAUAACGCAAAACAAUGUUCGUUCUCUCUUUAUUUGCAACUUGAAGAGUUUCAAAGUCGAUGCUAAAUACUAAAUCGGUUUUCCCUUUUUCCAUGAUCGACACAAAAUUCGCUGUGAGAAACCAACGGUUUCGUAUAAUUUUCUUUCGUUUUCUAUCAUCGCUAAGAAGUCUUACGUAACGCAAGGGUAUCGGUUAUUUUACGAUCACGAACACCACUGUCAAGGAACUCUAAUUCUACCGGCUUCGUAGCUUCACCGAGUCAACGAUGCCGAGAAAUAAAUUAAAUGGAAAAUCAAUUUCACACCGAGACUCGUCCGACCCGAUUUAUAUUUUCGCAGUUAAAAAUCGAGCGAGAGUAAUCGUAGAAGCGUCGUAAUCGUUCGAGUGAUCGCGAUAUCGCGCGAAAUUCAACGCAACGUUGCGCAACAUUUGGUUGGAGGCGGACGAAUCGUCAGGUGGAUCGCGAUAAAUAAAGUCGCAAGAGCGCAAGAAGCCGAGGAGGCCAGCGAACCGAGCGACGGAGGAAACACUUUCAAAGGAAAUGCACACCAACAGACAGAGAUUUACGGGGAUGAUAGAGCGGCCCGUUUUUAUCGCACCGGCGAGACCAACAAAACGUUCGAUAUCCGCUCGGUGACCGGUCGAUGCGCGUUUCGCGAGUCGCUUGCGAGAUCGUUCUGUCGUCUCACCGACUCUUCCCCGUCCCUGUCUUUUCAUUUCGUCAUUAAUCCUUCUUCAAUCGUAUCCUAUAUUUUCGACAUAUUCCAUCAAGUACAAUUUUUUAUUCGAAUGAUAUCGUUAACGCGUUGCGGACGCGCUCGGUGGUGCAAAGUGUUUCACGGGAUUGCUAGGAUCAAGAGGAAAGUUAUCUGAAAAUCCGAAAUUACGAAAUUUCGUCAAAAAAUCGAUAGAUUUGGAGAAAGCUUGUACUCACGAUGGUAUUUUAUUUCAAAGUGCAAUGUUUUAUUCGAACAGCGUUAUCAACGCAUUAGAAAUGCACCUGGCGCGAUGCGAAGGUUUAAAAUUCGUUUUAGAAAAUUCCGAGGGUUAGAAAGCAAGUUAUUUGAAGAUCCUGUUCCUCGGAAUUCGCCAGAAAUCGAUAGAAUUUGAGAAAACUGUAAUUGUAAUUAUAAUUGCACUGUUUGGUAAUUAUAUAAUGUACUAUUCCUUGGAUCUACUUUAGAAAUAAAUCAUUAACGAUUAGACGAUACUAUUCCAUAAAUCGCAUGAUUACUUAGUAUACGUUCUUUAUCUUAUAGAAACUUCUUCAUAAAUCAAUAGUUGCGGUCGACAAAAAAAGAAGACGAAGAGGAUGUUCUUACGCGAGGCUAACUUCCAUGUGAAAUUUACUUAAUACAUGUUUGUAACGAUAUACAAAUUUCGGUACAGAUAUAGCAAAUUAUGAAAUAACAGCGUGAAAUAUUUGUAGCGGUAGAAAGAAAAUGCUAUUCGAGGCAUAAAGGGUUAAUAUGAAAAAUAUAUGAUAUUUAGAAUAAAAUGAAAAUGUAAAAAUUGCUGUAAUGUAUUUCUAUGUAAUUGGUAUAAUUUAGUUUGAUCCCUCGUCAAUUACGGUAUAAUGUAAUGAUAAAUUAUUAGCUUUGUUUACACAAUAUAUAAAAAUACAUAGAUUAAAUCUAUUUGAAGAAUCACACACAUGAUUAUACUCGCCCUACGUAACACAUGUUUCAUUGUAUUAGUAUAAGUUUCAAGAUAACAAUUACUCCCGUCCAGUGUAUGUAAAUAUACGAUUAAAUCUUCUCAA